AUAGAAUGAAGACUAAUAAUAUUAUACAUGCAGGGUGUUUAAUUAAAACAAGAAAUUAAACGUUAUCCCAAAAGAUACUUUCAGAAGGUUCAGUAAUAUCAACAACCUUUUCCUCAAUGUUGGUCAUUGGUAGAACAUCAACAAUAUUCAAUUGAUGAUUAACAAAGUUUGUUUAUGCCUCCAUUACUUUGUUCUUUUGAGACUCCUAGAAUAAAUUAACCAGAUGUCUCAGCGUACGACAGGUACGCGACCAAUGCCCAUUUAUCUCACACCUAAAACAAACAUCUGGUUUGUUCUUUAUCUGUGUUGCAUUUUCUUUAUUUUUACCCGACCCAGACACUUGCCACUUCUAGUGGCUUGAAUUGUCGCGGUUCUGGAAUUUGUUGUUAUGAUGGCCUCGUUUGUUCUUUCAUCCCCAAGACUUCUUAUUAUAUGACCAUCUCUUUUCACGUUUAUUCUGCUGGAAUGACGUGCUGUUAAUAUCUGGCAAUGGGGUAGCACCCGUUGGCCGUACUUGAUGGUUUUUCAACAACAAUUCAUUAUUCUUUUCUGCAACAAGGAGGAUAGACAACAAGUCACUGAAUUUUGUGAACUUACUCUGUCUAUAUUGUUGUGACAGAAUCAUGUUGGUGGGAUGAAAAGUUG
rnacentral:lncRNA from 1 species